CAAGACAUACCUCCAGAUACCUUCAGAAACUACAUUUCAGUCGAGUUUGAAACCUUAAACACCGCAUAUGGAUCAAUACCGCCCAAGAACUAACGGCUGACUGAAUGCAAAACAAAGCAUGCAAAUUGAUGCCUGGUCGGGCAAAGUGAAAGCGCCGGGAUUUUUGCAGAUGAGAAAGCAGCUUGAGGAAAAUGAGACAUCGCACACUUGGUCGUUGUCCAAAGCACACUGGGUCAUGCCUGGGCUGGUCUCCCGGCUCACCUCUUAGAGUGUGAAGACAUCAGCGCUCCUGGUUCUUGAGCCUUUGGACUUGGACUGAUUACACCACUGGCUCUGUGGACUGCCAGUUUGCAGAUGGCGGAUCAUGGGAUUUGUCGGCCUCCAUAAUCUGGUGGGCCGAUUCCUGUGCUAACUGUCCUCUUCUGUAUCUCUCUCUGCAUGCUAUCUUGGUAUCUUGGUUAUGCUUCUCUGGAGAACUCCAGCUAAUUUGUCUAUUCCAUGCCACCUGUUUAACCAGUCAUCCAUCUGUGGGCAACAUGGGUUGCUUCCACCUUUUGGCUCUGUGAAUCACACUGCUGUGAACAUGUGUGUACAGAUAUCAGAGUGCUUGCUUUUAAUUCCUUGUAGUAUGUAUAGUACCUGUCUUUUUGACUGACAUUUGAAGUGAGAAGAGCUGUGAGGACUGAAGUAUUUCUUCUGGAUUGAGGCCCCAUGUUACCUGUGCAGACUGACCUGCCAGGGCUCCCCCUGUCCUUCUGUACACUUGUGCAUGGGCGUCCCACCUUCCACGCUUGGGCUGCUCUAACCCGGUCUGGGACGCUUCUCUUCUGUAUCUCUGUCCAGUUCUGACAUCCUUCAAGGCCACUUUGUGCCAGUCCCCACAUGACCUUGACUGGAGCAGAAUUCAUGGAUCUCUCUCCCAAGCCACGGUAAGACCACCCUGGGAGCUUCCUGACAUCAGCCAUAUAGGAUUCAGCAAAGUCACAGCCUUCUUGAGGACGAGGCCACGUCUUCUGCCGACUCCCACUGUCCCAGCCUAGUACAGGAGAGGCUUUCGGCCUCUGCUCAGACCCCUGUGGCUGAGU